rnacentral:rRNA from 1 species
AAUAGAUACCCUGGUAGUCCACGCCGUAAACGAUGAGUGCUAAGUGUUGGGGGGGUUUCCGCCCCUCAGUGCUGCAGCUAACGCAUUAAGCACUCCGCCUGGGGAGUACGGUCGCAAGACUGAAACUCAAAGGAAUUGACGGGGGCCCGCACAAGCGGUGGAGCAUGUGGUUUAAUUCGAAGCAACGCGAAGAACCUUACCAGGUCUUGACAUCCCGGUGACCACUAUGGAGACAUAGUUUCCCCUUCGGGGGCAACGGUGACAGGUGGUGCAUGGUUGUCGUCAGCUCGUGUCGUGAGAUGUUGGGUUAAGUCCCGCAACGAGCGCAACCCUUAUUCUUAGUUGCCAUCAUUCAGUUGGGCACUCUAAGGAGACUGCCGGUGAUAAACCGGAGGAAGGUGGGGAUGACGUCAAAUCAUCAUGCCCCUUAUGACCUGGGCUACACACGUGCUACAAUGGACGGUACAAACGGUUGCCAACCCGCGAGGGGGAGCUAAUCCGAUAAAACCGUUCUCAGUUCGGAUUGUAGGCUGCAACUCGCCUAC